UGAUUAAUACAUUUCGUACCAAUUUUUCUCAAUAAAUGCUUUCUUCAAGUGAGAAAAUGAUCAAAAAACAUACAAGCACCUUUUAUUAGGGUGCAGUCUUAAUCCGUUUAAGCAAUUACUACUAAAGCAGGUUAUUUCAUCUUUAACUUUCAGAACAUCAAGAUUGGUACGUAAACAUGUUUGCUCAAAAACCACGGAGAAGCAUUUACGAUUAGUUUUAAGGAGUUUGAUAUUUUUAUAGUAUUUCUACGUCAGAAUGACUGGAUGUCCCCUAUAGAUGGAUCCAAUACGUCCAUACUGGCUUUACAGUGGUUUCGUAGAGUAACACUUUGUUCUUCAGCUAGUGGCUAAUAUAGCCGUUUCACCUGCUUAUGCAGGAAUUGUAAUAUUUAUCAGCAGCAACCAUGUUCGAGGUAAAAAUCGUAUACAAUAUUGGGUCUGAAUUAUUUUCUUCUGAGAUUCCAGCAAUUAUUUCACCAAUUCGAUUCAUCGCUGUUACUGUUUAUGCACCUAAAAUAAAAUAAAAUAUCAACAAAUUUUAAAACCGAAACGUAUUUUGGUAAGAUUGUGGCAACGAUAUUAAAUCAUAUAAUUUGCUAACGUGUUUAUGGCUGAAGCGAAACUUUAAACAGCGAAGCAAUAAAUUAUUUCGGUUUACAUGUCAUCUGCUGAAAAAGUUAGGGUCAAUAAUUAUCUUAAAAAAUUGAAAAGCCAAUGCGGGUAAGUUAAAUAGAACCCUUUUUCGAAAAUUUGUCUAAACAAAAUUCGAACAAGUUGCAAACAAUGUUAUGCAUUACUCAUACAAACCUGUAGAAGACCAAAAUAAACAAAUAAAAAAAAUAAAUACAUGAACAAACAAAAAGAGAUUUGUACAUAUGCGAUUGUAUUUCUGCUAAUAGUUUGUAGUGUUAACAUAAAUGAAAAAAUGUAAACUAUUAACAUAUUCUUUUUACCGUUAAAAAUCAUUUUUAUUUUCCAUUUGUUUCUUAAGUUUAAUUCGUCGGUUUGGGCGGUAACACGACUAUUCAUUACGCAUCGAAAUUCAUUAUUUACUCGUUGAAAGGAUUACAUAUAAACGCGCUGUUACGAUAUUUUCAAGGUCCAUAAGCUGAAAUAUCUUUAUUUAAAAAUAGAAGUAAUAUUUUUAUAAAAAAAAUCAAAUUUUUAUUUUUUCAUUAAAAAACCAUUGAAAAAAAAAACAAUCCAAAAUCAAACGAUGUAGCAAAGUCAGUUUCAGUUUUUUAUUUUCAUUUAUUUUAGCGAUCUGAUAUAAAACUGUAAAAAUGUCAAUCAAUCUUACGCCAAGGUCCCAUUAAGGUCCACGAGAAAAAAAGCAAAACACUUUUAUUCACAAUUGAAAACAAACCUCAUCCCAUCCCAAUUUAAACUCUUCUCAUCCCAAAAUUUUAAAUUUGCAUGUUGGUGGAAUUUUCAGAAAAUUCGCUUGUGUUAGUGAGAAAAUUUUAACAUUCGAUUGGAUUGGUGAGUAAAUAGAGAGCGGAUUGUACACUCACCUACAUGGAUAGUCACAUAUAAGUAGCUAAAGCACUGUGGGGACAAAAAAAACACGAUGAAUUUUAGUCGAGAAAAUACUCUUGAGAAAGGCGCCGCGCCGUUGAACUGAAAAAAGUGUUAAAAAUUCGAGGUGUUUUUGUGUUUCUGUAAUUGAUUUCUUAUUGAGAAAAAUGUAAACAAAACCCUUUUAAGCGGCUGAGAAAAAAGAAGAAAUCGUGCAAAGUAAGAAUUCCAUAGCACGUCAAAAUAAGAAAACAAGAGCAACUAGAAAUAAAAUUUCUGAUGUGCUUUCGCAAGAGUGUGGGAUUUGUUAGAUAUUAGAUGAACUAAGUUUUUAUAAAAAUAGCAAAGAAAAAGAGAGGAAACUCAUUUUAAGAAAUCUUUAUCAUAUUUAAAAAAAAAGGCAAAUUUUUUUUUUUUGUUAAUUCAAUCAUUAUGACGUGAUUUAAUGAAAGGUGUUUAUUGCUGAAAGUGUUUGUGUUGCUAUUUUUAGGAAAAAGUUCUGGAAAAUAAACUACCAUAUAUAUAUGAAAAAAAAAAAAAAAAUUAAAUGAUACAAAGCAAAAUAUUUUUUAUUUUAUUACAUUUUAUGUGAAUGUGUUAGUGUCCGUAAAACACAAAAUUAUUGCUUAAUCU